AAAAUGGCCGCAUAAUUACUAAUUGAAGGCACCUGAAAACGAAUGAGGUUCAGUCACUCAUUCACCAAAUAACCUUCAUGGAAUUCUGCAAGCAUCCACACCCGCAAAAUCCACUCAACAAGUUUCUCCAAACACACCAACGCGGAACGUUUGUCUCCAGCAAUAAGCAGCAAUAAAUAGUCCUAGGAAAUAAAGUCCUGGACAGGAAGCCUGUAGCCUCGCUCCAUGGACGUCACUCACACCUGCCAGGGACAGGGAGAGAGCGAAAACCUACCACACAGACCAGUACCUGCUCUUUGACUACCAUCACCAACAAGAAGACAAGCUUGGGGCAAUCAGGACCCUCAGGAAAGAUCCCUACCACUGACAACAGAAGACAAAAGGAGCAGAGACAUCUUUCUAAAGACUUCAUCAUGCUAUGUUUCUACGCUGGCUCUUCCGACAGUGUUUUGAUCCUGUUAUGCUCUUGUUAAAUUUCAUUGAUAUGUAGUCGGAGUUACCAACAUCAAGGGCGACAUCUAGAUCGUUUUUUGCGCUUGAACAUCAGUCACUUUUAUUGUACGUGUUAUCCGAUACCAUUCAUAUUCGUACAGUUGGUCAUAUCUGCAUAUUUCGUCACUGAGACAUUCAUUCAUUUCCACCAUUGUUUCGCUUGAGAAAAAAAAGAAGUACCAAUCACAACUUUGUGGCUUGCCUUGCUGUGGACAGGAGGUUUUUUGGAGCUGCACGUCAAGCUCUGCUGGAAGGUUUGAAGAGGUAGGAGCUAGGUAGCACCAUGACGUUGCAGCAUAUUGAACACUUUACUGUGAGUGUCCUAACAGAGCAUAAGAAAUGUCACUACUCCCCUGCCUAAGGAUAAAAACAGGAGACCAAAUGUGGCGGUCUCAUACGUGGCAGUUUUUUUUUUUUUUUCAAGAAACUGUCCCAUUUUCUCAAAACACAUAUCAAAAAUCAUACAUGAGAAUCAGCACCACCAAAACCAAGAUCAUGAUUCUCAAUCCAAAAAAGAGUGGAAUGCUAUCUCAGAAGAAUGGAUCGCGUCCACAGUGAUGUGGACUCCGCAUCGGUCUGUCGUGGUGAAGAGGGAGCUGACCUGGAAGGCAAAGCUCUCAAUUGACCAGUCGAUCUACGCUAUCUUUUUUUCCGAAGGGUGGCGGGGCUCCCCCUUAGAGAUGGAGUGAGAAGCUCUGUCAUUUGGGAGGAGAUCAGAGCAAAGCCACCACUCCUCCACCUCAAGAGGAGCCAGAUGAGGUGGCUCAGGUAUCUGGUUAGUAUACCCCCUUCGGAAGUAUUCAAGGCACGUCCGACCGGUAAAAGACCACAGUGAAGACCCAGGCACGUUGGAGAGAUUGUGUCUCUCAGCUUGCCUGGGAACAGCUCAGUAUCACCCAGACAGAGCUGGACAAGAGUAGCCGGGGAGAGGGAAGUCUGAGCUUCUCUGCUGCCUACCCGACCUGACCUCAGAUAAGCGGAAGGAGAUAGAUGGGUGGAAGACAUACCGAUGCUUUUCAUACUCACAAGACAAAAACUGGUUCAACCCAAUGACAACACUUAGAAAUGGUGUUUGUGCAGCGCAGUGUAGCGAGGCGUGCAAAGACCUCUACUUUGGAGACACCAAACAACCCUUACACAGACUAAUGGCAUAGCAUUAGCGGGCUGUUCCUUUGGGCUGAGAGUCUGGAGUUAAUUUGCAUCUUAAAAAGGAAUGGAGAGUCAUUUGGGGACCACUAUGUCCAAAUUGUAGAAUUGGAGGACCUGUGGUUUGAAAAGAGGUGUGAAAGAAGUCAUCUUUGUCAAACUGGAAAUGAAGAGGUUUGCGCCAUCACCUUUUGUCUGCUCACAAUUUUUCCAUCUCUCCCCCAAAGGUUGUCUCGUUCCAUGGGGAGAGUGGCCACUAACGAGCCGCAUGCCACUAAGAAGGACUUGGGACCAUUGUUAAACCCCAAAUUUGACCACUGCUGUGGGACACACCCAUUACAGACUGCACACCUAUGAUUUAAAAGUGAAGAAGCCUUUCAGAGAUGAAAGCUGAAAGGUCUUUAACCAAACAAAAAGGUUCCAGUUGCCUAAAUACCUGUGAGCGCAUAUUUUGAACACAUCAUCGUCACAAAAUACUUUUUCCUUUUUUAAGAAGGUGUUUGUUGUUAUUGCUGCUAGUUUGACUCUCCUUUGUUUACUUAAAAAAUAUAUUUUAUUAUCAUCACUUUGCCUGCCCCUGAUUUAAAAUACACAAAAGUUUAACUGGACUGCUAUUAUUUUUGUAGCAGCCUAAUGAUCUCAAUUGUGGAACAAAAUAAAUAUUUC